AUACGUAGGGUCCAAGCGUUAAUCGGAAUUACUGGGCGUAAAGCGUGCGCAGGCGGUUGUGCAAGACCGAUGUGAAAUCCCCGGGCUUAACCUGGGAAUUGCAUUGGUGACUGCACGGCUAGAGUGUGUCAGAGGGAGGUAGAAUUCCACGUGUAGCAGUGAAAUGCGUAGAGAUGUGGAGGAAUACCGAUGGCGAAGGCAGCCUCCUGGGAUAACACUGACGCUCAUGCACGAAAGCGUGGGGAGCAAACAGGAUUAGAAACCCUAGUAGUCC
rnacentral:rRNA from 1 species